GGACUUUUUCCUGGCCAUCAUCCUGCAGGACAGCAGCGCAGAUUCCUUCUGGAACCCCAACGCCUUCGAGACGGAUUCCGACCUGCCGGCUGGAUGGAUGAGGGUCCAGGACACCUCAGGGACCUAUUACUGGCACAUCCCAACAGGGACCACCCAGUGGGAACCCCCCGGCCGGGCCUCCCCCUCACAGGGGAGCAGCCCCCAAGAAGAGUCCCAGCUCACCUGGACAGGUUUUGCUCAUGGAGAAGGCUUUGAGGAUGGAGAAUUUUGGAAGGAUGAACCCAGUGAUGAGGCCCCAAUGGAGCUGGGACUGAAGGAACCUGAGGAGGGGACAUUGACCUUCCCAGCUCAGAGCCUCAGCCCAGAGCCGUUGCCCCAAGAGGAGGAGAAGCUUCCCCCACGGAAUACCAACCCAGGGAUCAAGUGUUUCGCCGUGCGCUCCCUAGGCUGGGUAGAGAUGACCGAGGAGGAGCUGGCCCCUGGACGCAGCAGUGUGGCAGUCAACAAUUGCAUCCGUCAGCUCUCUUACCACAAAAACAACCUGCAUGACCCCAUGUCUGGGGGCUGGGGGGAAGUAAGGACCUGAGCCGGGGGUGGGGGGUGGUACUGUGAGAGUAUGAAGGGAAUUAUGAGAGAUGGGAGGUCUGACCUGCCCACAAGCAGGCUGGGAAAGGGGGAUAUUGGCCCAUCCUAAGUGGCAGCCCUGUGGGAUUGAUGAGUGACCCCAGGCUAGGACCUUGGGAGAUGGUAGCCUAACAACACUGGAGUCAAUGUGAGAGAUGACAUGUGACCUCCACUAGAGUGAGGCCUGCAGGGCGGGUGGUCUGACACCAAAGCAGGGGCCCCAGAGCUGUGGCUAACAUCCCUUGAGCUGCAGCAGUCAGAGAUCAGCCACCAUCCUGGCUGGAGUCCCACUGAGUGCCUGCUUCUGGUCCUGCAGGGAAAGGAUCUGCUACUACAGCUGGAGGACGAGACGCUAAAGCUAGUGGAGCCACAGAGCCAGGCACUGCUGCACGCCCAACCCAUCAUCAGCAUCCGCGUGUGGGGCGUCGGGCGGGACAGUGGAAGGGACUUUGCCUACGUAGCUCGUGAUAAGCUGACCCAGAUGCUCAAGUGCCACGUGUUUCGCUGUGAGGCACCUGCCAAGAACAUCGCCACCAGCCUGCAUGA
rnacentral:sRNA from 1 species